rnacentral:lncRNA from 1 species
UUCCAAUUGCAAUUUUGAUCAAACUCAUUAAAGUAAAAUAUACAUCUGAGCAAAAAUGUCAGGAAUAGUGCACAAGAUAGAGGAGAAACUCCACAUGGGAGACCACAAGGACGCAGACAAGAAGGGCGAGGAGCACAAGGAGAAGAUGAAGGAGAAGGGCGAAGGACACAGGGAGAAGAUCAAGGAGAAGCUCCAUGGCGAAGAUCACAACGACGGGGAGGAGAAGAAAAAGAAGAAGAAGGACAAGAAAGACAAGAAGGAGAAGAAGCAUGACGAUGAUAGCAGCAGCAGCAGUGGUAGCGACAGUGAUUAGAUCUGAUCCUCCCACAUUUUCCUCUACUCCUGGUAUCUUCUUUUAUAUUUCUAUCUAUAUAUCAAUUCAUUUACUCGAUCAACUCCAAUUUAUUUUGUGUUUUUUGAAUCGUUAGUUCAUUUAACUUUUUUAUUUGAUUCUGUCAACUCCUACGUAACAACUUGUUGUAUUUCUUUAUUCCUUUAUUGAUAAAUGUGACUUUUUUACUUUUUAGUGCUACUGUCAAGAUAUUAUUAAUGUACCAUGUUUUCCACGGGACAAGACUAACACAAUUUUGGACAUAGUUUAGCAUUUAAUCUGUAUUUACUUAUUUGCUAAAGAUAUGUUGGUCAUUUGUGUUAAUCAUCUUUAAUGGAUAUUAUGGUAUACUGCUAUAUCAUGUGUUGUACUGCAUUAUUAACAUUUGAGAUGAUCAAAUGUCACAAGCUCGAUAGAACAACUGAACAAGUCGUUUAAUCAGUAUGCAUGAGAGCCAAGUAUGUCAACCCAAAAUUUUGUCAUCCAAAAACUUAUCAUUUGGAUGGAGUUAUUGACUAAUUAUUGAGAAAAAGUAGUAUUCGGGAAUUAGAAGUUGCACGUACUUAAGAUACUGUGACUAUAUGUUACUGACGAUGAUAAAAAUUUUCUUUCCUGAAAUAUUUUAGCUAUUAUGACCAAAGCUCUAGCUAAUUCACUCUUGAAAGCGCUAAAUCGAGAGAGUUCAGGAUUACAUAGAGUGCUCGUUUUACAUUGCUUGUUUCCAAGAAUAUGCUAUCCAAAAAAAAAAAAAAUUCUAAUAUAAUGUUCUUUAUUUCUAUAUAUAAAUAAACAUUACAAUUUGAUGCUUAGUGUUAAAGUCAAAAUUUUCGAUUCUCCCUUCAUCUUGAGUUGCGGUUUUUGUUCUUUUCUGAAGAUAGAAUUUAUUCACGUCACUUUCAUUCUUUUGUGUGUUUCUUCUUUGACUCAAGUUACAUUUCUCUGCGUGACAGGUAAAGGGAAUUGUGAUAAGUAUUUCUGAGAUUUGAGCUAGAUGUACCAAUGGCAUUAGUUGCAGAGGAAAAAGUAAAUAGGAGAAAAUAAACAAAAAUAAAAGAUGACCAUGCGUAGUCUCCAUUGGCUCUAAUGUAUCCUAAUUUGGGACAGUUUGUGAACGUACUUUCGCGCUAAUAAAAAAUGAAGUUUUUGAUCAGUUUCUUUCUGCUUGUAUUGACUUAUUUAGUUCUUGCUAAAUAUAUGUUGGGUGGUCAUAACUCAUAAAUUUAUUUAAUUCGUAAUUGU